GAAAACAUAUACGCCAAAUAAUGAUUAAAAGCCAACAUGUUUUAUGCUUUUAAGGUAGGUCCAAUGUCCUAAGGUCUAAGCGUCAUAUAUGCAAUCUCACUGGGAUGGCUCCCUAAACCUAAAAUUAAGGCCACCAGAGCUAUGGUCCUUUUCACAGCUUUUCCACACCAGUUGGACGCAACUAGGUGUGAAAUUGCAUGUAAAGAGAACAGCCAUUGGCUGGGGUUUUCACGAUAGCCAAACUGGAGAUAGUCCAGACGUGAC
rnacentral:lncRNA from 1 species